rnacentral:rRNA from 1 species
AGAGUUUGAUUCUGGCUCAGGAUUAACGCUGGCGACGUGCCUAACACAUGCAAGUCGAACGAAAUAUCUUCGGAUAUUUAGUGGCGAACGGGUGAGUAAUGUACAGGUAAUGUACCUUCGUACUGCGAAUAACAAGCUGAAAAGUUUGCUAAUACGGAAUAGUUUCAUUAGGGGGCAUCCUUUGAUGAAUAAAGAUUUUAUCGUGCGGAGAUCAGCCUGUAUCCUAUUAGUUAGUUGGUGGGGUAAUGGCCUACCAAGACGACGAUGGGUAACUGGUCUGAGAGGAUGAGCAGUCACAUUGGAACUGAGAUACGGUCCAAACUCCUACGGGAGGCAGCAGUGAGGAAUUUUGCGCAAUGGGGGAAACCCUGAACCGCAGCAACGCCGCGUGAGUGAAGACGGCCUUCGGGUUGUAAAGCUCUGUCGUGUGUGACGAGUAGGGACGGUAACACACAAGGAAGCCUCGGCUAACUACGUGCCAGCCGCCGC